rnacentral:lncRNA from 1 species
CAAAGAUCUGGCCGAGGUGAGGGAGCCACGUGGACAUCAGGAAGAGUAUUCUAGAAGGGAGGACAAGCAAGAGCAAGGGCAGGAAUGGCCUUGGUGUGUGAGAGAAGAUGGGGAGGCCGGUCGGCUGGAGUGAGGUGGGCAAGAGGGAGCACGGUGGUAGGAAAUGAGGUCGGCUCCUCACAGGGCCUGGCAGGGCCUGGCAGGGCCUGGUGUUGGCUGACGGGUGGCCACAGAGAGUGUGAAGCAGAGGAGGAUGUGAGCUGAUGUGGUCUGGCUGCAGUGUGUGGAGAGCAGACUGGGGGUGAGGACACAGCAGGGGACCACAGCCAUUAGGGGGAGGGCUGGUGUGGUUUGGCCCAGGUAGGGGCGGUGGGGGAUGGGGAAGGAGCAGAUUCUGGAUGGUUGAUUCUGGAUGGUUCUGCAGGUGGAGGCACCAGGACUGGCUGAUGGACGAGGUGGUGCAGACACCCGGGGACAGACAGAGAGACAACUCCAGCCAGACACGGGACAUCAGAGCAAUAGGGUUCCUGGUCUGCUGCAUUGCUGCACCUCGGCCAUUUGUCAAGGAGCCUCUGUGCUGUCGUGGCACUGGGGACCUACAGUGAACCUACACAUCCCUUGUCCUCACGGGGGCUUCCUCCUAACGAGGAAGGCAGAGACGGUGAACAGAUGUAAGUAAGACGGCUUCAGGGGCCCUGAGUGAAGGCUGCCAUGCGGGGGACAGUGGAGAGGCUCUGAGGAGGAGUCUGUCUCCUGUUGGGUGACAAACAACCCCAAAACUGAGCAGCCCACAUCAGCAAAUGUUUAUUUUCUGGUCUCUGUGGGUCAGGAGCCCAGGGGCAGCACGGCUGGGUAGCUGACUCAGGGGCUCUCAAGAGAUCAGUUGGGAUGUCAGCUGGGGCCGCAUCGUCCCAGGGUUGGAAAUCUACCUGUAAGCUCCCGGGUGUGGCUGGUGGCAGGAGGCAUCAGGUCCUCACCACAUGGGCCUCUCCACAGGGCUGCUCACAGGCAGGGCAGCUGGCUUCCCUGGGGAGAGAUGGAGAUGGGGGUACGCACGUGCACACACACGCCCCGCCUGCUUUCCUCCUGCACGGCUGGUAUAAAACGGAAAACAAAACAAGGACAAGCACCCUCUCCUGCUGUUCCCAGGCCGCCCUUCCUCCCUGUGUGGGGUCUGCUUUCCUUCAGGCUUCUUGAGAAUGGCCUUGGAGAGUCAUCCAGCUGACAGAGAGCUGUCUGCACCUUGUCCCUGUCCCCUGGGGCAAAGAGACAGCACGAGUUUCUGCUGGCCAUACUGGUCCUCCAUCACCUGCCAGCAGAGGGGACAGUGUGGUGGGCACCGAUGCCCACUUGGAAUUGCUGGACAGGACUCUAGUGUCCUUCUAGAACAAGGGGUUUCCAUUCAGGCAGCUGCAGCACACGUUACUGGGAACUCCCUGCUUUGGGUCUUAUUUGCUGUUGGCUAGAGUGCCGGGUGGGGGAGGUUGGGCGCUGCCAGGGGAGUCCACCUGCGACAAUGGGCCUGGAUGUGCGAGGAGCAAAGGGAAGGCUCCCUGCUCCUUUUGAAAAUAAUAAUCCAUCAAUUUGUGGACACUCAUUUUUUCCAUUUUAAAAUUGUGACUUAAACACAGAAAAGAUACACACAAAAUAUCUAUUCAUGCAUAUGCAUAUGUGUGCAUGUAUACAGUUUAAAGCUGCAUGUAGUAUAGAUGUCUGCAUUCUCCACCCACGUCAGUAGAUGGGACAUUUCCAGCAGUCCAAAAGCAUUCAUGUCCCUCCUGACAAAGGCCCCUCUCCCUGGGGUGACAGGUGCCCUGACUAUUGUGACAGUCGUGGUCCCUGCUCAGCCUCAUAGUCUCACUCCCCAGGGGGCACCCUUAGCUGAGGCAUUGAGUUUUGCCCAUUUUCCUUAAUUGGAUUGUGAUGCACACCCUGUUUGGGGACUGGUUACCUGGGCAACUCACCCGGCUGCUGGUAGCAGCCAGGGUGCAUGUAUUCCCGCGGCUGUUUAGUGUCCCUUGCAUGGAUGGGCCACAUUCACUCACUGUCCCAGUGAGACACGCGGGCCUAUUCCAGCUCAGGGCUCUGGGCCGGGUCCCACACUUCACUGGCCUUUAUUCCUGGGAACAGAACUCCUGGGUCCAAAGGCGCUCUGCCCUUCCUGGGCAGUACCACUGUCUUCUCUGAAAGGGAGCGCGUGUGUACAGGUCCUGGGCUGAGUUCAGGCAGGGACAGCGUCCUCCAGGAGGAUCAGCUGCAGACUGGCCUGGGUGGUGGGAAGGGGCCAACUGCUCAGAGACGGAUGACCGGGGAUGCCUGGCCUAGGGUGUGGAGGGCGGUCAGUGGUGUCCCUGCAGAGACGUGGCUGCUGAGAGGGGUGAUGGCAGGUGUUAGCUACGUGGAGCAACCCGGCAGGAGGAGGUGGGUACAGGGCGUUGAGGCUGGGGGCAUCCCUCAGCUCGGCGCCGCAACAGAGUGCCAUAGACGGGGCCGCAUGAACAACAGUUCAUUUUCCCACAGUUCUGGAGGCUGUAAGCCCCAGAUCAAUGUCUGGCACGGUGGGUUCCCGGGAGGACCCCUCCUCCUGGCUGGCGCCUUCUCCCCACGUCCUCAUGUGGCAGAGAGAGAGCUCUUGUCUCCCUUCCUCUUGUCAGGGCACUGGUCCUACUGAUUUAUGGCCCCAACCUUAUGGCCUCAUUUAGCCUUCAGCACCUCCUCACAGGCCCUGUCUCCAGAGACAGCCACACUGGGGGUUUGGGCUUCAACACAGGAAUUUGCGGGGGUGGUGGUGGGGGACACAUUCAGUCUGUAACAAGGGGUGAGGGCCUCUGAGGAACUGGGGUGUGCAUGGAGCAAUGGGCGAGGGGUGUUGUGGUCACCUGUCGUUGUGUAACAAACCACCCCCAAACUUAGUGGUUUAAAACGAGAAUCACCUAUUCACUCAGGAUUUCAGUUUGGGCCCGGCCCUGGGGGACAGCUCCUCUCUGCCCUCUGUGACAUCAGCUGAGGCCUUGCUCACAAUGCUGGCAAGCUGGUGCUGGCUGACAGCUGGGAGCACAGUGGAGCUCGUGGCCCGGGGGACCUUGGUCAUCCUGCGUGUGGCCGAGUGGGCUUCCUUUCAGCGUCAUGGCUGGUUCCAAAGAGUGAGAAAGUGACACUUGCCAGUCGUUUUCAAGGUUGGGCCUGAACCUGGCUGGAGUGUCAUUCCUGCCAUCAUAGAAGCCACAGAGUCCAGUGUGGCUGUGAGAGAAGGAUAGUCUGUCCAGACUUGCCGAGCCCACCUCACAGGAGCCACGGUGCAUCACAUGCCCGCUCCCCACCGGCCGCUCAGCAGGAGGCCAGGAGUGCAGGUAUCCAAAUUCACUCACAUUUGUGUUUUCUUUUCCCAACUUUUUCUUGUGGAAAACUUCCAAUAUACACAAAAGCAGACAAUACAGUAUAAUGACCACCCUUCCCCACGUGCCCAACUUCUACAAUUACCAGCUCUUAGCGACUCUUAUGUCAUCUGUCCCGCCUCCUCUGUCCCCCUUUCAUAUUACUUUUCUCAAUUUUUUUAUAGACUAGCACACUUACUGAAAAGUGCUUGUGUCCUAAGUGUGCACAGGGUGAGUUUGCACACUGUGAGCUCACUGGUUAGGAUCCUCGUACCCACUUCUGCUGUGUGUGUUGGGGUAAGUGUUCCCACCCCACCUGCAAUUCCCUGACCCCUGACAAUUCCCUGACAGUUCACCUCGAUUCUGACCCUCUCCACUGGAGCCAGCAUCACAUUCCACAGCCCGAGGGCUCGGUCCCACCAGACAGCCUCCACUUCAGAUGCCAGUCACAAGCCCAGGUUGUCACCUGUGCUUCUGACCAACAAGAUAUAAAUCAGAG